rnacentral:tRNA from 1 species
UCGGGGGUGGUGUAAUCGGUAACACAACGGGUUCUGAUCCCGUUAUUGGGGGUUCGAGUCCUCCCCCCCGAGC